CGAGCUAAUCUGUGUUAGCCAUGUCUGGCUGUUAGCGUCUCUCAGGGAUUUCUCCCUUAAUGGUUGAUCAACGUAAAAAAUUGUCUCGAUGGCUUAUAUGAUGUAUUUUCAUGCCGAAAAAGUCCAUUUAUGUCGGACUUAUGCUUCAAGACAAUCAAUUGUUGACAUUGCUAUAUCACAUUUAUUUUUGUGUUUCAGGAUAUUUUACAGGUUGUACAGGAAUCUCAUGACCCAGAGAUGGUGGAAGUAGCAGAUGAUGUAGUGGAAGUAGCAGAUGAUUUUGCUGAUGAUUUACAUGAGUGGCGUGCACUUCAUGCAAGACAAGAUGAGGAAUACCUUGAAAGUCUGCAGACUGACAAAGAAAGGCAUUACACAGAGGUCUCUACAGAACAUAUGGAGUGAUAAUGGCUGUAGCACUGGUGCAUGGAGGAGUGUUACCUUCUUUUUUUUCUGAGAAGCUCUACCAAAACCUUUGCUCUACACCUACGUCACCACCCACUCUCGAAGAAGUAGCAGAUCAGGAUUUGCAGUUGAAACUCAAAAAAGAUCAGUGAGGCAGUUGAUGUUACAGCGGCUAGAGCUGCCAUUGAAAAAGCUGCGGAGAGCCUGUCCUUGUUGGGGUCCCUGAGGCAUAUCGCCACCAUGGAGGGACGGGACCGGUUGGUUCAGGCUGCCACAAGUUUCUAUGUGGAAGGACAAAGGAAGCCUUGCAACAACUUGCUGAAGGACUGAACACACUUGGUCUCCUGGAUCUGAUGAAAAUUCACCCCAGCAUCUUCAAGGAGGCGUUGUUUUCAUCAGAGAGGCCUUUAAAGGCUACAGACUUGAUCUCCCUGUUCAAAGCAACGCUGUCCCAUCCUGAAAGCAACCAGUGGCAAAAAGAGAAGGGAGUAGAAGGGUACUGGAGAGACUUCCUAACUGAUAUUGAAGAUGGUGCGUUUGAGAUCACAAUGGAACAAAUCCUGGUGUUUGCCUCUGGAGCCGACAGAGUAGCAGCUCUUGGUUUUUCCCCUCACCCAACGCUGUCUUUCAGUCACGAGACAGGGCGGAAGUACCCUGAAGCCAACACCUGUCUUGUAAAUUUGAAACUGUCUAUCCAUGACACUUAUGUUCAAUUCACCAAGUUUAUGUGCGAGGGCAUUAUUCAAGCUCCCACUUUUGGUCUGGCUUAAAGUCACAGACAUAAUUUAAUAAUGGCUGUUUUUGUUUGGUUAUUAAAUGACUGAAUAUGAUUUUUAA